CACACUGUAAACGAUGUGCACGAGGUGUUGGGGCGGAUGCUUCAGCGCCGGAGCUAACGCGGUAAGUGCACCGCCUGGGGAGUAUGCUCGCAAGGGUGAAACUCAAAGGAAUUGACGGGACCCCGCACAAGCGGUGGAGCAUGUGGUUUAAUUCGAUGGUACGCGAGGAACCUUACCUGGGCUUGACAUGCAGGGGAAUGCGGCAGAGAUGCCGCAGCCGGGCAACCGGCCCCUGAACAGGUGCUGCAUGGCUGUCGUCAGCUCGUGCCGUGAGGUGUUGGGUUAAGUCCCGCAACGAGCGCAACCCUUGUCCCUAGUUGCUACGAAAGGGCACUCUAAUGAGACUGCCGGUGACAAACCG
rnacentral:rRNA from 1 species